rnacentral:rRNA from 1 species
UAGGGAAUUUUCCGCAAUGGGCGAAAGCCUGACGGAGCAACGCCGCGUGCAGGAGGAAGGCCUUCGGGUCGUAAACUGCUUUUAACGGGGACGAUUUUGACGGUACCCGUAGAAUAAGGAUUGGCUAAUUCCGUGCCAGCAGCCGCGGUCAUACGGAAGAUCCGAGCGUUAUCCGGAAUUACUGGGCGUAAAGAGUUGCGUAGGUGGCAUGUAAAGCGAACAGUGAAAUAUCACGGCUCAACCGUGGGUACAUUGUUCGAACUCACAAGCUAGAGCAUGAGAGAGGUAGAUGGAAUUCCCAGUGUAGGAGUGAAAUCCGUAGAUAUUGGGAGGAACACCGAUGGCGUAGGCAGUCUACUGGCUCAUUGCUGACACUAAGGCACGAAAGCGUGGGGAGCGAACGGGAUUAGAUACCCCGGUAGUCC